CCGAAAGACAUUAUCAGAACUGGUGGGAAUAUUUUCCUUUCUGUGUUUUGGAUAACGCAAACCAGUAUUCCACUUUUUCAUUAAUGCCUACUUAGCCAGCUAGGUGGGUUUAUUGUUCGUACUAUUUUAACAAGCACUGGUAAAUGGAUGCUGGUAAAACAGACUACAGAGAUAAUUUAUGGGAGCUGGGAGUAAUGUCUUUAAUUUUGUCUCAUGUAUUCCCUUUGUCUGUUGUCUUGUAAUGUAUAAACCCAACUGCACACUGUUGUUUUGAGGCGAAUGAAGGAACAAAUGUCACGUUACCGGGGUGCUGAGCACUGCCUACAGACUCAAAGGGUACCGUUUCUAUCAGAUUAUACGCCUCUGUGGUUUCAAAUAUAGACCUGCCCAUUUGGGGUAGAAAGAAUGGCUGCUGCUGGGGCUGGAGGACUGUGCACCCUGCUCUGCUUGGGACAGUGGGGCAGGCACAAGCAAUUGCAGCAGGUGACAGGCAGCCAGACCAGGAACCCUUUGUUUUCAGUUCACCUGGUGACUAUGUCCACAGGAGCAUUUUAGAAGGCUGAAAAGCAUUCAAGGAGUGUGCUUUUGAAAUUAAUCUCCCAAACACCCACCUCCAACACACACACAGAGUUCAGUUUGCACCCCAAUGUGGUUUCAAGCAGUGCUUACAGCUUCCUUUCACAUUCAGCCAAACUAGAUGUGCUCCAGGUGCAGGAUUGGACCAAGGCUAGUUGAGCAAACCUCCAAAAUGUGUUUAAUGUAGGUUUUUCAUCACUCUGCAGUUCACUCUGUAGUUCCUUUCCUCUGUAGCUGCUUUGGACAAAAGAGGACCCUGCUUCAUAGUCAGAGCUUUGUGAAAUUGCCCCAGUAAUCCAUGGACAUGUGUAAAGAACCAAUAAAUUGAGGCUAAAUGAAGCUUAUUGUUCCAACUCAGUACAAGCUCCACCAACAUUAACUACGUAUUCAGGAUGUCACGUGGAUUUGUCUCUACACUGCUGAAUCUUAAACUUCAUGGCCAGUAAUCCAACAUUCACAGUCACUCACCUAAAAAAGGAGGGCUCAACCUCGAGGAGUUCCCUUGGAUGACAUCCAGACCCAAGGGGAGAGUUCCUGACUGCAGGAGCUGCUUUGAGGAGGACUGACUGCAGGUGGCUGCCCAAGGGGCUCCAUUGCUGCCCUGCUCAGAUCUGAGCUGUGAUCAGAUAUGGUCAUGUACCCCCAUGGGCUCAGGACCCAACUUCCUUCCCCUGCACCUGCCAGCCACCACCGUAUGGCUGUAUAGUCCAUUGACAUAUACAGAACACAGAGGGGACUCUACCUCUUGGCUUAGAGACUGUGGACCAUCUAUAGAACAAGUACAUUUACUAUUAGUCUAUCUGACUCUUUAGCUGGUACAAUCCAGGGACCUCUGUGGUGCUACCUCUGGUUGCUUUAAACUUAAGCUCUUUAGUUGUGAGAUUUGAGGUGUCAAAGUUAUAUUGUUGCCCCAAUGUUAUAUCAUCUUCUUGUUCCGAAGUUAUGUUUAGUGUUAAUACAGAUUUUACAUCCAGAGAUUAAAAGGGUGAUAUUGAUUUGAAGUCACAGUUCGUCCUUGUGUUCCCAUUGUUAUUUUAAAAGUAUCUGCUAUGAGAAGAAAUAA